ACCACAUCACAUUAAAACACCGGUUCCUGUACGAUCACCGAAGUUAAGCAACGCCAAGCCUUGUCAUUAUCUAGAUGGGCGACUGCUUGGGAAUACCAGCUGCUGUAU